CCUACGGGUGGCAGCAGUGAGGAAUAUUGGUCAAUGGUCGGGAGACUGAACCAGCCAAGCCGCGUGAGGGAGGAAGGUACAGAGUAUCGUAAACCUCUUUUGUCAGGGAACAAAGGCGGGGACGUGUCCCCGGAUGAGUGUACCUGAAGAAAAAGCAUCGGCUAACUCCGUGCCAGCAGCCCGGGUAAUACGGAGGAUGCGAGCGUUAUCCGGUUUUAUUGGGGUUAAGGGGUGCGCAGGCGGUCUGUUAAGUCGGCGGUAAAAGCCCGGGGCUCAACCCCGGCCCGCCGUUGAAACUGGCAGUCUCGAGUUGGAGAGAAGUAGGCGGAAUGCGCGGUGUAGCGGUGAAAUGCAUAGAUAUCGCGCAGAACUCCGAUUGCGAAGGCAGCAUGCCGGCUCCACACUGACGCUGAGGCACGAAAGCGUGGGUAUCGAACAGGAUUAGAUACCCCUGUAGUC
rnacentral:rRNA from 1 species